rnacentral:rRNA from 1 species
UAGGGAAUCUUCCGCAAUGGACGAAAGUCUGACGGAGCAACGCCGCGUGAGCGAAGAAGGCCUUCGGGUCGUAAAGCUCUGUUGUCAGGGAAGAACAAGUGCGAGAGGAACUGCUCGCACCCUGACGGUACCUGACCAGAAAGCCACGGCUAACUACGUGCCAGCAGCCGCGGUAAUACGUAGGUGGCAAGCGUUGUCCGGAAUUAUUGGGCGUAAAGCGCGCGCAGGCGGUCCCUUAAGUCUGAUGUGAAAGCCCCCGGCUUAACCGGGGAGGGUCAUUGGAAACUGGGGGACUUGAGUGCAGAAGAGAAGAGCGGAAUUCCAUGUGUAGCGGUGAAAUGCGCAGAGAUAUGGAGGAACACCAGUGGCGAAGGCGGCUCUUUGGUCUGUAACUGACGCUGAGGCGCGAAAGCGUGGGGAGCAAACA